rnacentral:rRNA from 1 species
UAGAGUUUGAUCAUGGCUCAGGAUGAACGCUGGCGGCGUGCCUAACACAUGCAAGUCGAACGGGAACAGAAUGAAACCUAGUGAUUUUUGUUUUAGUGGCGGACGGGUGAGUAACGCGUGGGUAACCUGCCGUAUACAGGGGGAUAACACUUAGAAAUAGGUGCUAAUACCGCAUAAGCGCACAGCUUCGCAUGGAGCAGUGUGAAAAGCGUAAACGGUAUACGAUGGACCCGCGUCUGAUUAGCUAGUUGGCGGGGUAGAGGCCCACCAAGGCGACGAUCAGUAGCCGGCCUGAGAGGGUGACCGGCCACAUUGGGACUGAGACACGGCCCAAACUCCUACGGGAGGCAGCAGUGGGGAAUAUUGCACAAUGGGGGGAACCCUGAUGCAGCGACGCCGCGUGAGUGAAGAAGUAUUUCGGUAUGUAAAGCUCUAUCAGCAGGGAAGAAAAUGACGGUACCUGACUAAGAAGCCCCGGCUAACUACGUGCCAGCAGCCGCGGUAAUACGUAGGGGGCAAGCGUUAUCCGGAUUUACUGGGUGUAAAGGGAGCGUAGACGGUUAUGCAAGUCUGAAGUGAAAGCCCAAGGCUCAACCAUGGGACUGCUUUGGAAACUGUAAAACUGGAGUGCAGGAGAGGUAAGCGGAAUUCCUAGUGUAGCGGUGAAAUGCGUAGAUAUUAGGAGGAACACCAGUGGCGAAGGCGGCUUACUGGACUGUAACUGACGUUGAGGCUCGAAGGCGUGGGGAGCAAACAGGAUUAGAUACCCUGGUAGUCCACGCGGUAAACGAUGAUCACUAGGUGUCGGUGGGUAGAGACCCAUCGGUGCCGCCGCUAACGCAUUAAGUAUUCCGCCUGGGGACUACGGCCGCAAGGUUGAAACUCAA